AUUCUGGAAUCCCAACUCUGUGUUCCUUAGGAAACCGUCCCACGACAAGAACCCAUAGGUUUCUACCUUUAUUGGGAAGAAAAAAGAGAAAAGAGACAGCAUCUAUGUUACUCAGGCUGGACUCAAAUUCCUGGGUUCAAGCGAGCCUCCUGCCUCAGCCUCUCAAAGGGCUCUGAACCUUUGUGAAGUAUCACCUACGUGAAGGACUCAACUAGAAUGCUACAUUCCAAAAGAAGGGACGAAUCCUCCUUGACACCCUGCAGAGUCUAGCCCUUUAGCUGGCUCAUGGCACAUCCUCAGUUUACUCUUGCAAAGGUACCAGGGUCAACCAGGACAGUUUCCCAAAGACAGAGAACAGAAUGUCCUAUGGAAAGAUAGUUCCCCUGGGACUACAAAAAUUGCCAAUUUCAGUGAGAAAUUACGUGAGUCAAAAUAUUUUCCUUACUUAUCACUGUUCUUUGAAUAGUUUGUUUAUCACUGUUCUGUGAAUAGUUCGUUUUCAAAAACAAAAACCCGCAAUGACAGGGGCCUUCUAAAACUAUUCUAAUGCUAAAAAAUGCAUUAGAAUAAAUUGCCACCAAAUUUUUAUCCUGGAUCAUAUAUUCACAUAUAUUAUGAAUGUAUAUUAUGAGGUUCUGCUGCCUCUGCCAGGGCAGACCCAUCCCACUCUAGUCUCUGUGGAUGGCCCCAGGUAGACAAGCAAGGGAAGUGUUUUCCCACUCACUUUACCUGGAAUUCUGCCCCUCUCACCUGCGUGUCUGGUAAAAUGCUGAAACUGUUCAAGCACCAACUUCCCUGAUGAGCCUUUGCCAACUUUACCAAGCACUCUGGAGGCCAGAUGGGGGAGCACAGCCCUAUUGCAAUGUCUCUCCCAUUAUGGGGACUGUGUAUUAAGGGCACAUGAUCUAAUUUCUCAAGGGAAAGAUCCAUGUCCUGUUCCUUGUAUACCCCCACAAAAGUUCUGGUAGGCAGGAGGAGCUCAAUAAACAAAUAUUUGUUGAAUGAAUACAUAAAUAAAUUUCUAAAAGAUCUAGGUUAAUGAACCAAAUCUAUUGGUUCCUAAGAUAUAAUUUUGGGUUGGGUGUGGUGGCACAUGCCUGUAAUCUCAGAGGCUUGGGAGGCUGAGACAGGAGGAUUGGGAGUUCAAAGCCAGCCUCAGCAACAGCAAGGCACUAAGCAACUCAGUGAGACC